CACAGGUUUGGUCCUAGCCUUACUAUUAAUUUUAACUGCAUUUACACAUGCAAGUAUCAGCCCCCCCGUGAAAAUGCCCUUUUUCACCGCUAAGUGACUCAGGAGCAGAUAUCAGGCUCUAUAGGCCCAAGACAUCUUGUUUAGCCACACCCUCAAGGGAAUUCAGCAGUGAUAAACAUUGAGAAAUAAGCGCUUAAGCUUGAACCAGUGACAGUUUAAAGAGUUGGUUAAUCUCGUGCCAGCCACCGCGGUUAUACGAGAAACUCAAAUUAAUAAAAUCGGCUCAAAGGGUGGUUAAAAGCAUUAUAUAAUAGAAUAAAAAAAUAAUUCUGCUGUUAUACGCAAUAAUUAUACACAACACACCAUCGAAAGUAAUUCUAACACACUUGAACCCACGACAAUUAGGACUCAAACUAGGAUUAGAUACCCUACUAUGCCUAAUCAUAAACUUUGUUAUAUCCGCCAGAGUACUACGAGCUAUAGCUUAAAACUCAAAGGACUUGGCGGUGCUCAACACCCCCUUAGAGGAGCCUGUUCUAUAAUCGAUAAUCCCCGAUAAACCUCACCAUCUAUUGCUAAUACAGCCUAUAUACCACCGUCCAGUCCGCCCUUUGAAGGAGUAAUAGCAGACACAAGCACAUACAUAAAAACGUCAGGUCAAGGUGUAGCAUAUGAGAUGGGAAGAAAUGGGCUACAUUUACUAAACUAGUAAAUACGAAUAAGCUUAUGAAACUUAAGCCCUGAAGGAGGAUUUAAUAGUAAAAAGAAAUUAGAGUGUUCUUUUUAAAACGGUAAUAGAGCGCGCACACACCGCCCGUCACCCUCUUCGAAUAAAUCCUACAUUAAAUAAAUAAACACUAAAAAUAAGAAGAGGUAAGUCGUAACAUGGUAAGUCUACCGGAAGGUGGACUUGGAAUAA
rnacentral:ncRNA from 1 species